AACGUCCAGUCAACAACUAGUUGCUAGUAGUGCAUGGAAGUCCUAACAACUUAAUACCGAAAGACAAAGAGCAUUCAGACAAUACGCAGCUCACAUAGAUGUUUUAAAGACUAGAUUUUUUUACAGUAUAGCCGUGCGUUUUUCCUGUUCUUCUGAAAGACGACAGCUACCUCUCACGCCAUUUUUAAUAAAGUAUUGUAAAUAAUUCGUAUCAAUCAUUUGAAUUGACUUCAAUAUCAAUUUUAAGACCAGAUAUUAGACCUAAGUUUUCCAAGUACCGGACAUAUUAUACUAUUAGCAAUGUAAAAUACGAAGCGAAUUCUGGAAUCCAGUCGAUGUGAAUCAGCUAAACACGAGUAUAAGAAAUCGUCGUAUGCGGAUAUCAAUGAAGUGCUACAAUCCUUAAGGAAAAAUAAGGUUCUUUGUGAUAUUAAACUAGAAACAGACGAUGGUGAAAUUAUAUCUGGUCAUAAAGUGGUUUUGGCAUCAGCUAGUCCAUAUUUUUACGCAAUGUUCACAAGCUCUUCAAAAAAGAACAAAGAUCUUGUUGUUAUCAGGCAGCUGGAAUCUAGUGCACUACAGCUCUUAAUAGACUUUGUUUAUUCUGGCAAAAUCUCGAUCACUGAACAAAAUGUACAGGAUUUGUUAGCAGCAUCAAAUCUUUUGCAGUUACAAGAAGUCAAAAACGCAUGUUGUGAUUUUCUACAGGCGCAAAUAUGUCCCACAAAUGUUAUUGGGAUUAUUGCUAUAGCUGAUUUACAUGACUGUACAAAAUUGUUAACAAGAUCAGAAUUAUAUUUUAAACAACACUUUUCAGACGUGGUAGAAGGAGAAGAAUUUCUGUCCUUGUCACGUGGACAAAUAGUUAAGUUGAUCGCCAGUGAUGAGAUUACAGCUCCAUCUGAAGAAAAAAUAUGUGAAAGUGUAAUUCGAUGGGUAAAACAUGAUUUGGAUUCCAGAAAAAAAGUUUUGCCCCAAUUAAUGGAACAUGUGCGUUUACCAUUAACAUCGAAAGAUUACAUAUUAAAAAAUGUUGUUAACGAACCUCUUCUUAUUAAUUGUUCUGAAUGUAAAGAUUACGUAUUUGAAGCAUUACAAUUUCAUUUACUUAAGUUAGAAGAACUCAUCGACAUUCCACAUAACAUCCGGGCAAAACCUAUACAGCCUGAUGGUACACAUAAAGUUAUUUUAGUUCUUGGUGGACGAGAUAUCAAUGGCGAAAUAUUAGAUAGUACAGAAUUGUAUGACCCAACAAUCAAUAAAUGGCAGCCUGGACCAAAAAUGAUCACACCACGUUACGCUGGUGGCUUAGCUGUAGUAAAUGAUAAUUUUGUAAUAUAUUUGGGUGGUAAAUCUACUGAAUCAACUGUUGAGUCUGUUAAUGUGCUAAAUUUAUCAUUGAAUCACCUCAUUGGAGACCAACACGCAAAAUGUUAGUUAAACGACAAUGGUUUGGAGUUGGCGUGAUAAAUUACUGUAUAUAUGCUGUAGGAGGUCUUUCUCCAGAUACAAUGAACUCCGUUGAAUGUCAUCAUCCCAAAAUUGAUAAAUGGACACCUAUUGCAGACAUGUGUGUACGUCGCGCUGGAGCGGGUGUUGGAG
rnacentral:misc_RNA from 1 species